GUGGGGAAUAUUGGACAAUGGGCGCAAGCCUGAUCCAGCCAUGCCGCGUGAGUGAUGAAGGCCCUAGGGUUGUAAAGCUCUUUCACCGGUGAAGAUAAUGACGGUAACCGGAGAAGAAGCCCCGGCUAACUUCGUGCCAGCAGCCGCGGUAAUACGAAGGGGGCUAGCGUUGUUCGGAAUUACUGGGCGUAAAGCGCACGUAGGCGGACAUUUAAGUCAGGGGUGAAAUCCCAGAGCUCAACUCUGGAACUGCCUUUGAUACUGGGUGUCUUGAGUAUGGAAGAGGUAAGUGGAAUUCCGAGUGUAGAGGUGAAAUUCGUAGAUAUUCGGAGGAACACCAGUGGCGAAGGCGGCUUACUGGUCCAUUACUGACGCUGAGGUGCGAAAGCGUGGGGAGCAAACAGGAUUAGAUACCCCGGUAGUCC
rnacentral:rRNA from 1 species